rnacentral:lncRNA from 1 species
AUGAUUGGCCUGUCAGUAUUGAUAUCUCCUCUCCCUCCUCCUCUCACUCUUCUUGCAUAGCAGUUGUUUGUUAUUACACAAUCCUUCUUCUUAUAAAAGAAUUAAGAGGAUUCUUUCUUUCCAUCCUCAGGAAAAGGUGGGCUGUUUUGGCUUCCUACCAUGGAAGAGGACCUUGAAGGAGAAAAUUGGCAGACCUUCUCCAUUCCCUGGGGCUUCGGCAAGGUGGCAGAGGAUGAAGGAGAACAUAUUUGCCAGAUGUGGCUGUAGCAAGAAGAAUGUUGCAGAAUAAUGUGUUAUUACAGAAGAAACUGGCUGAAGAGUUUAUUGUAGACUAAUACCUGGCAUCAGUCCUAAUCUUAUUUUCAUUUGCUGCGACUCAGGAAUGAUGUUGACUUGCUUUGUAGCUGACACUUUGUACCACUAGCUUCCCCUUUUAUUUAUUUGUUUUCAUUUCUUUUAUCACCUCAUUGGCAUCUUUUUCUUCCUUCAUAGGAGACAAAAAUUAAGAUUUAAAUGAUAGGUAAUAUACUAUGAUAAUGAUUACUUAUUCAUGGUCACUGAAUUACUCUAUGAUGAUUUCAUUUUUAUAAGAGGCUUUGAAUAGCAGCACACAUUCUGCUAAUUUGACUAUUGCAUGAAAGAAUUUUUAUGGCUAGCUACUGAGUCAUUUUGUGCCAAUAUCAGAAAGCACAUUUCCAACUGGACAGUAUUUCUUCCUUCUGCCAAUUUUCUAGUCACCAUCAGUAUAGCAUUAUAGUACCCUCAUUUUCUGCUAUUAACACAAUCCACAAUAGUACAAAAGUAUCAGAUAUUAAUAAAUUAUCCAAAUGCAUGGUCUUUGAAAAAAUACAUUAAUGAUUCAGAGGUCCAUGCUUCUGAAUAAUUUUCCAUAGUUCAGUUUCUUUAAAGCCUGUCAGAAACUGAUUUAUUUUUUUCUUUCUUUUACUUUUUCAUCCAACUGUAAACAAUUCUAUAUGGAAGGUAUAAUAAUUUGACAGAUAUUCAAUUACUGUUUUAUUCACCUUCCGCUGCUAUUAAUAAAAUACUACGAAAGACUGAGGUGCUUACAAAACAGAUGUUUAUUUCUCAUAGUCCAGAGGCUAGAAGUCCUAAAUGAAGGUACCAGCGGAUUUGAUUUUUGCUGAGGGUCUUCUUUCUGGAGUGCAGACAGCUGCCUUCUCACAUCUCCGGGGGUCUGUCCUCUUCUAAUGACUAAUGGCUCUACCCUCAUGACCUCAUCUAAACCUAAUUACUUCCUGAAGUUCACAUUCCCUGUUAGGACUUGAACUCCUGAAUUUGCUGGGUGGGGAUGCGGGAGGAGUUGCCUUUCAGUCUGAAAUAAUUGUCUUUCAGUGAGAUUUGUUAUAUAAAUCUCUCUUGAGG